UGGGGAAUAUUGCACAAUGGGGGGAAACCCUGAUGCAGCGACGCCGCGUGAGUGAAGAAGUAUUUCGGUAUGUAAAGCUCUAUCAGCAGGAAAGAAAAUGACGGUACCUGACUAAGAAGCCCCGGCUAACUACGUGCC
rnacentral:rRNA from 1 species